GGGGUGGGCUUAUCCCUUAUCCUGGGCUUCAGCGUCGCUUAUGCCUUCUACUACCUGAGCAGCAUUGCCAAGAAACCCCAGUUAGUGACCGGGGGUGAGAGUUUCAGCCGCUUCCUUCAAGACCACUGUCCCGUGGUUACAGAAACGUACUACCCGACGGUCUGGUGCUGGGAGGGUCGAGGACAGACCCUGCUUAGACCUUUCAUCACUUCGAAGCCCCCGGUGCAGUACAGGAAUGAACUUAUUAAAACUGCAGAUGGAGGACAGAUUUCACUGGACUGGUUUGAUAAUGAUAACAGUACGUGUUAUAUGGAUGCCAGCACCAGACCUACUAUCUUAUUGUUGCCUGGCCUCACGGGAACAAGCAAGGAGUCAUAUAUCCUUCAUAUGAUCCAUCUUAGUGAAGAAUUAGGAUACAGGAAGAUGCAUAACUGAAUCAUCUCACAAGAAAUGUCACUUAGCAUAGUAGACACUCUGCAGAUUUAGGCUGAGUUAAUGAAUGAAAUUAGAAUCAUCUGAGCAUUGACUGAGCCCUUCCCCCCAUCCCCACCCCAAUGGAGAGUGUGUUAUGGAGGGAGAACAGCAAUUACAGACCCCUGAGAGAGUACACAGUGGCCGUCAUGCCACAUUCUGGGGCCUGGAUUCACUAAUCUUGUCGCCCUGGCUCAGCUCCCAAGUGCAAAAAAUAUUCAGAAUCAGCUUGUAGGUUGUCCCUAUUUAUCAAAGGUGAUCUCUGCCUCUUCUGACCACCUGAGUUUGCAGGUGCACUUGGCUAGUCUCCAGUUGUUGAUGCCACAGCUUUUCUGAGUAACCAUUAUUAAGCUCAGUCACCAGGUACAAUUUAAUUUUUUGCAAGUGAUUAGCAACUUUGAGUUUCAAGUUCAGCUCUAGAAUCUUAGAGUCAUUAUAAAAGGUACUGCUUUUUUGUGCCUCAGCUUUUUUUUUUAGCUGAUAAUUAUUGUAAUGGAACACUCUGUGAGUUGUAUUUAAAGUAGAGUUGUAUCUUUUGUUAAACUUGAAACACUUGUGUGAAAAGCUGAUGGUAAGUUUACCUUAAAAAAAUAAUUUUAGGCUGGUCACAGUGGCUCAUGCCUGUAAUCCCAGCACUUUGGAAGGCGUAAAGCCGGUGGAUUGCUUGAGCCCAGGAGUUCGAGACCAGCCUGGGCAACAUGGUGAGACCUAGUCUACAAAAAUUAGCAGGGCAUGGUGGCAUGCACCUAUAGUUCCAGCUACUGACAAGGCUGAGGUAGGACGAUCAGUUGAGCCCGGGAGGUAGAGACUGUAGUGAACCAUGAUCGUGCCACUGGACUCCAGCCUGGAUGACAGAGUGACACCUUGGGCAAAAAGAAAAAAAAAAAAAAGGAAAGAAGAACAUUUUGAUGUUUGAUGUAAAGGGGAAAAUUCCAUGAUAGCUAACUUAAUUUUAACAAGUUAAUUCUGAUCUUUUAUAAAUAAUAGCCUAUUUUGUCCAUGAAGUAACAUUCUCUCAAGAACUAUGAUGUUCAAGAAUUAUAUUCAAGAAAUUUGCUUAGCAGUAGCAGGAAUUCAUCAUUAUUCCAUGUUUAAGCACCAUACAGUUAGAUGUGAGGCUUGGUUCCUUUUUUU
rnacentral:lncRNA from 10 species